AUUACAUUUCCAUGGCAACACCAGAAUGACUGUACAAUCAGCAACGGAUCCAAUACCCAGCCAACAAUACCGUGGCAUCUUGUGCCCCCAACGAGGCAGUAAUUGGGUGAUGGCUAUUCUCUGCUUGUCCACCCACAGCGAGCAGCAUCACGGAGACAGCGAAAGCCAACGUAAACGUUCAAUCCUUCAGCCCUGCCAGUGCUGACAGAACAGCACCAACAACGACCACGACGAGUUUUGUUCCUGACAAGUCUGGAUCCUGGACUCUGGUGAACCAUUUUAAACUCGCUGUUUAAUGUACUCAUCAAAAGCUUGGCAAUUAAUAGCCACCUGUCACAGACACGCAUUCUUUAUCGCAUGGGGAGAGAAGGAAAAUCAUCAACACCUUUGGGUGAGGGACGCGAAUCCUAGCAGAGCUGUAGCAGCAGCUAAGCGAGAAACCCAAACCACAGCGGUCUGCGUUCUCCAGGAGCUCUGCCAUCGGCCAAGGUCUGGAAACCCAGUGCACUCUAAGAAGCCUUCGCCUGCCACCAUCUAUUCUGUAAACAAUCCCAAUUGCACCAGAUGACAGAACAGGGUAGAAUUAAGCUCUUCAUCUCCAUUGUCCACGUCUAACAUCUCCAUUAUCAGAGUGUGUGCAGUUACAGUCCCUACAGAAGCGAUGAAGGGACAGCAACACCUGACGUCAGUCCUGCUGCACAUCCAACAGUAUUUGUCUAGCAGUGAGCAAAACAACUCACUGGGUCAUACGGCUCCGUGCGUUAGCCCUCCCAACGCACAAUUAAAAACUACUGCAGACAGCUUGUGCUGGGUGACUCAGAGCCUCCAGCAUUUGCAGAGAGCGCUGCUCCUGCCACCGGCCGUACCCAGAGCUUGUUGCAUGUGUCUCGCUGCCUGCUGACUCGACUGUUUUCCCCUGCAUUUGCUCGUGCAGUUACCCAGCGAGAAGUUACUGGAAUUCCCAUGCAGCAUGCAGUUUGGCUAAAAAGCAAAUAACCUAGAGAAAUGACACUAUCAUUGAAGAACAUAAAAAAAAUAUAAUUUUCCUUGUAAGUCAACAGAAAUCACAGCUCAUCAACUUUUCUGGUUGAAGACCUCACUGUUUAACACAGGCCUUUCUAAUGUUAAGAUUGCAAAGAUGUUCACAACAACUAUUUUGGAAAUACCAGAAAAAAGCAUCCUUGAGAAGCACUCCUCGUGCACGACUUUAUUUGUUGGGAGAUCUUAGCAGGUUAACUCGAUUACGUUGAACUCAGAGCCGUUCUGCUCAAUUUCUUCUCACUUCCAAGACUGCUGCUUCUAUUUCAGACCUAGAAAUGGGUUUCUGUCCCAGAAAGAUGAUACAUUCAGAAAAAAAUACCUCAUGCCACACACUUGGUCUUUCUUCCACAAGCUCCUUCCUUACUUGCAGCAUCUCUCAAGACUUAACGCCGUGACCUUUGAAAGCAAAGAACUCAAGUUGUGACCGUGAGCCCCCCACCUCCUUUCUUUCUGCUGAAAAUGUGGGCAGCCCCAGAAGUCUCCAUCGUGCCCACCCCACCCCACGCUCCUGCACUGAAAGAGGGCUCCACAUUUGGCGUCCAUGGUCCCUGGGCCAUGGGUUCCCUGGAUAAAGCGUGUUUUGUUGUGAGACGCCAAGCGGAGAAACCCGUGACUUUCCCCAACACCUGGACACACACGACACGAGAUAAAGGAUCGCUUGCUAAAAACUGCUACCGCCAUUUAACUCGCCCACUUGAAGUGAAAACAAUUUUCUUACAGAUAUUUUAUACUCCGCUAAUAACCAGAGCUAUUUAUAGGUAUUUUAUAGAACUGGGCACCUUAUCAAGGUAUUUUAUCAGCAUCUUAUAGCGCAGUAAGCUAUUCAAGCCUCAGAGAUUGAAUCAACUUCCACCUACAAUUAAUAAUAUACUGUGAAGAGCUGAUAAACACUCGGAUGUGGCUCAUUCUUUAAGUUUUCUCACCAUAAAUGAUUGACUACCGCUUAUGUCAAUACUGCCUUGAGCAGGAGCUGUGGCUAUAGGAACAGGGGAGCUGUCGCAGCAGCCCAGCCCUUCCUCCCUGCCCUCCACACAAAAGCCCAGUAACAAACACCUUCUUGUUACUUCUUCCAUAGCGUGCGCACACUGUGAAGUCCUGAGCGGAACUGUGCAAGCUCAAGAUUUUUCAUUUCAAUUUAAGAAG